rnacentral:rRNA from 1 species
UACGUAGGGUGCGAGCGUUAAUCGGAAUUACUGGGCGUAAAGCGUGCGCAGGCGGUUUUGUAAGCCAGAUGUGAAAUCCCCGGGCUUAACCUGGGAAUGGCAUUUGGGACUGCAAGGCUUGAGUGCGGCAGAGGAGACUGGAAUUCCUGGUGUAGCGGUGAAAUGCGUAGAUAUCAAGAGGAACACCUGAGGUGAAGACGGGUUGCUGGGCCAACACUGACGCUGAUGCGCGAAAGCCAGGGGAGCAAACGGG